AUGAGCGUUCCACCACUGUCGCUGCUAAUGUGGCCAUCAUCUCAUCCACCGUUCACGUUCUCCCAGUGGCAGGAUCUAGAACACCAAGCUAUCAUCUUCAAGUAUCUCAAAGUUGUUUUGUCGGUUCCUUCAGCCAUCCUUUUUUCGUAUUCGGAAAACGGAAGAACCAAUGGAAAAAAUGGAGACUCCAUGGAAGAACUAAAACCACUUUUAUGA